rnacentral:rRNA from 1 species
CAUGGCUCAGAUUGAACGCUGGCGGCAUGCUUUACACAUGCAAGUCGAACGGCAGCACGGGAGCUUGCUCCUGGUGGCGAGUGGCGAACGGGUGAGUAAUGCAUCGGAACGUACCCAGUCGUGGGGGAUAACGUAGCGAAAGUUACGCUAAUACCGCAUACGACCUGAGGGUGAAAGCGGGGGACCGGUAACGGCCUCGCGCGAUUGGAGCGGCCGAUGUCUGAUUAGCUAGUUGGUGAGGUAAAGGCUCACCAAGGCGACGAUCAGUAGCGGGUCUGAGAGGAUGAUCCGCCACACUGGGACUGAGACACGGCCCAGACUCCUACGGGAGGCAGCAGUGGGGAAUUUUGGACAAUGGGGGCAACCCUGAUCCAGCCAUGCCGCGUGCGGGAAGAAGGCCUUCGGGUUGUAAACCGCUUUCGGACAGAAAGAAAUCGCCUUUUCUAAUAAAGAAGUGGAUG